GAUGAACGCUGGCGGCGUGCCUAAUACAUGCAAGUCGAGCGAACGGACGAGAAGCUUGCUUCUCUGAUGUUAGCGGCGGACGGGUGAGUAACACGUGGAUAACCUACCUAUAAGACUGGGAUAACUUCGGGAAACCGGAGCUAAUACCGGAUGAUAUUUUGAACCGCAUGGUUCAAAAGUGAAAGACGGUCUUGCUGUCACUUAUAGAUGGAUCCGCGCUGCAUUAGCUAGUUGGUAAGGUAACGGCUUACCAAGGCAACGAUGCAUAGCCGACCUGAGAGAGUGAUCGGCCACACUGGAACUGAGACACGGUCCAGACUCCUACGGGAGGCAGCAGUAGGGAAUCUUCCGCAACGGGCGAAAGCCUGACGGAGCAACGCCGCGUGAGUGAUGAAGGUCCUCGGAUCGUAAAACUCUGUUAUUAGGGAAGAACAUAUGUGUAAGUAACUGUGCACAUCUUGACGGUACCUAAUCAGAAAGCCACGGCUAACUACGUG
rnacentral:rRNA from 1 species